GACGAACGCUGGCGGCGUGCUUAACACAUGCAAGUCGAACGGAAAGGCCCUGCUUUUGUGGGGUGCUCGAGUGGCGAACGGGUGAGUAACACGUGAGUAACCUGCCCUUGACUUUGGGAUAACUUCAGGAAACUGGGGCUAAUACCGGAUAGGAGCUCCUGCUGCAUGGUGGGGGUUGGAAAGUUUCGGCGGUUGGGGAUGGACUCGCGGCUUAUCAGCUUGUUGGUGGGGUAGUGGCUUACCAAGGCUUUGACGGGUAGCCGGCCUGAGAGGGUGACCGGCCACAUUGGGACUGAGAUGCGGCCCAGACUCCUACGGGAGGCAGAAGUGGGGAAUAUUGCAACAUGGGCGGAAGCCUGAUGCAGCAACGCCGCGUGCGGGAUGACGGCCUUCGGGUUGUAAACCGCUUUCGCCUGUGACGAAGCGUGAGUGACGGUAAUGGGUAAAGAAGCACCGGCUAACUACGUG
rnacentral:rRNA from 1 species